AGUGAACGCUGGCGGUAGGCCUAACACAUGCAAGUCGGACGGCAGCACAGUAAGAGCUUGCUCUUACGGGUGGCGAGUGGCGGACGGGUGAGGAAUACAUCGGAAUCUACUUUUUCGUGGGGGAUAACGUAGGGAAACUUACGCUAAUACCGCAUACGACCUACGGGUGAAAGCAGGGGAUCUUCGGACCUUGCGCGAUUGAAUGAGCCGAUGUCGGAUUAGCUAGUUGGCGGGGUAAGGGCCCACCAAGGCGACGAUCCGUAGCUGGUCUGAGAGGAUGAUCAGCCACACUGGAACUGAGACACGGUCCAGACUCCUACGGGAGGCAGCAGUGGGGAAUAUUGGACAAUGGGCGCAAGCCUGAUCCAGCCAUACCGCGUGGGUGAAGAAGGCCUUCGGGUUGUAAAGCCCUUUUGUUGGGAAAGAAAAGCAGCAGGUUAAUACCCCGCUGUUCUGACGGUACCCAAAGAAUAAGCACCGGCUAACUUCGUG
rnacentral:rRNA from 1 species